UGUGUGUUCACAAGGGGCUACAGUGCCCUC
rnacentral:sRNA from 1 species